rnacentral:rRNA from 1 species
UACAGAGGUCCCAAGCGUUGUUCGGAUUCACUGGGCGUAAAGGGUGCGUAGGUGGUCGGGUAAGUCUGAUGUGAAAUCUCCGAGCUUAACUCGGAAAUGGCAUUGGAUACUACUUGGCUAGAGGGUUUGAGGGGGGACUGGAAUACUUGGUGUAGCAGUGAAAUGCGUAGAUAUCAAGUGGAACACCAGUGGCGAAGGCGAGUCCCUGGAAAACUCCCGACACUAAGGCACGAAAGCUAGGGGAGCAAACAGG